GAAUGUAAGGGCAAUCUGGCUGUGACAUUUGCAUUGAUCUGCAGGGAUGAUUUGGCUGGCUAGGGAGGUGUCCCCUUCCUCUCUCACCACUCAUGUGCAUUCCUCCCGAAGCUGUGUGCUCAGUUGAAGAGGACGGCCUUCCCCAAAUAGAGACGGAGCAGUCAAGGGUGUACAAAUAGCUGCGCUCCACUGCUAGAGCCUCCAACAAGCUUACAAAUAUAUUUUUCUACUAGCCUAAAGCUCCAAGCAAAGCAGUUCAGAAUGGUCCCUCAUAACCAAGGAGAUAAUGCCAACAGUAGAGUAACAGACUCAAACGCCUGAGGCACUGGAAGUCCCAGGUUCAGUCCUCAGC
rfam:Erinaceus europaeus unplaced genomic scaffold scaffold00043, whole genome shotgun sequence